CCCGCUGAACUUAAGCAUAUCAAUAAGCGGAGGAAAAGAAACUAACAAGGAUUCCCCUAGUAACUGCGAGUGAAGAGGGAAAAGCUCAAAUUUAAAAUCUGGCAGCCUUCGGUUGUCCGAGUUGUAAUCUAGAGAAGUGUUACCCGCGCCGGACCGUGUAUAAGUCUCCUGGAAUGGAGCGUCAUAGAGGGUGAGAAUCCCGUCUUCGACACGGAUCCCCGGGGCUUUGUGGUGCGCUCUCAAAGAGUCGAGUUGUUUGGGAAUGCAGCUCAAAAUGGGUGGUAAAUUCCAUCUAAAGCUAAAUAUUGGCGAGAGACCGAUAGCGAACAAGUACCGUGAGGGAAAGAUGAAAAGAACUUUGGAAAGAGAGUUAAACAGUACGUGAAAUUGCUGAAAGGGAAACGCUUGAAGUCAGUCGCGUCGGCUGGAAAUCAACCUUGCUUUUGUUGGGUGUACUUUCCAGUUGACGGGCCAGCAUCAGUUUUGACCGGUGGAAAAAGUCCAGAGGAAGGUGGCACCUUCGGGUGUGUUAUAGCCUUUGGUCGUAUACAUCGGUUGGGACUGAGGAACUCAGCACGCCGCAAGGCCGGUCUUCGGACACGUUCGUGCUUAGGAUGCUGGCACAAUGGCUUUAAUCGACCCGUCUUGAAACACGG
rnacentral:rRNA from 1 species